rnacentral:lncRNA from 1 species
CCAAAUACAUACAAAAAUGACUACAACAUCACUCGCUCCAGCGAGCAGCCAGACAACAACAAUAUGUACAUAAACACCUCAAAAUUAUCUGUGGGAGGUACUCCUCUAGCUCUGCAACACGUCUAGAAGGAAUCUAGCUCGCAACUCUCUUUCCACGAUCAAUAUCAGGGACAGCAGCAGCUGCAGAAGAAGGCUCUGCAAAAGGGGUCAACAACUGAGUGUGAGAACUAUUACAAAAAAGAGUAGUCCUCAGUGGGUACUGCUACCGAUCUCAACGGCUCACCCACUAAGUCUACAGAAGGUAUGCAGGAAGAUAAUAAAAGAAGCUGAUAAAACUCUACAGCUAUAUGCCACUAUACUACUACUACCAACACUACCAAUCUGUAGAUGUAACCAUAAUGCAAUCUCUGACCCAAACUCACUAGGGACUGUGAACACAACCGUCCCGCCUGUCGAAACUAUACUAACUACCACCACGCUGCAUCGUUAGUGGAGAGCGAGUCCAACUAGGACAUUACGACAUCAACUCAAAAGUACUAAACCCGACUCCAGAGUGGCACUCGUGGGCGCUACCAAAUCGAGUAUGCAAGCGUGUCUCUGCCGAGCUCAAUCAGGCUCUCACAGGCUAUAAUCAAAGCAAAAUGGUCUAACUGGUCUAACAACCAUAAUUUACAUGCUCUCGACACAAUCUGAUGCAAAAAUAACAAACUGGGUCCACCGUUAACCACAACGGUACCUGACAGUCUGGAACAGUCUAAUGUCACGCCCCGGAUUUCACGUUCCCCGGGCACGCCGACAGAUCCGCCGUAUACAAAAAAAUUUUUCCUGUAUACGAAGCGAUAGCUGUACCUGUAAAUCAAACACUACUACGAACAGUAGUAGAGAGCUGCUAGAGAAAACUGAAGCUAAAUAAAACAGAGUUUCAUAUACAUAGUUCAGAUCCCAAAUACAGAGCUACUCGCACUGGCGAGUUAAGUCAACUAUGUACACAAACUCGAAACAAAACAUCUACCUGCAGUAGGGCACCUCUAGCUCAGCACGUCGGGUAGGGCUCUAACUCGCGAC